rnacentral:rRNA from 1 species
UACGGGGGGGGUAAGCGUUGUUCGGAAUUACUGGGCGGAAAGGGCUCGUAGGCGGCCAACUAAGUCAUACGUGAAAUCCCUCAGCUUAACUGGGGAACUGCGUGUGAUACUGGAUGGCUUGGAUUUGGGAGAGGGAUGCGGAAUUCCAGGUGUAGCGGUGAAAUGCGUAGAUAUCUGGAGGAACACCGGUGGCGAAGGCGGCAUCCUGGACCAAUAUUGACGCUGAGGAGCGAAGGCCAGGGGAGCAAACGGG